rnacentral:ncRNA from 1 species
GUCCCGAAAAGGCAACUUGUUCCGAAAGGACAAGACGCAAAUUAGGAGUCCUGUAGCCAACCUUUGAUUGCGGUAUGGACAGCACUAAUGCCGAA